rnacentral:rRNA from 1 species
UAGGGAAUCUUCCGCAAUGGGCGAAAGCCUGACGGAGCAACGCCGCGUGAGUGAUGAAGGUCUUCGGAUCGUAAAACUCUGUUACUAGGGAAGAACAAAUGUGUAAGUAACUAUGCACGCCUUGACGGUACCUAAUCAGAAAGCCACGGCUAACUAUGUGCCAGCAGCCGCGGUAAUACGUAGGUGGCAAGCGUUAUCCGGAAUUAUUGGGCGUAAAGCGCGCGUAGGCGGUUUUUUAAGUCUGAUGUGAAAGCCUACGGCUCAACCGUGGAGGGUCAUGGGAAACUGGAAAGCUUGAGUGCAGAAGGGGAAAGUGGAAUUCCAUGUGUAGCGGUGAAAUGCGCAGAGAUAUGGGGGAACACCAGUGGCGAAGGCGACUUUCUGGUCUGUAACUGACGCUGAUGUGCGAAAGCGUGGGGAUGAAACAGG